UCACAGUAUAGAAGAACUGACCGAUGCUGUAGCUUUAGUCAGAACCAUGGCGGCGGUAGAGAAAGUGGUGGUGACCUCACCAACAACCCAGCAGCAGCAUAGUAGGACUACCAAUGCAAAGAAGGGAAGCAGUCCACUCGAAGAAUUAAUUAAGAAGCUCUGUUGGUCUCUUUUGGCACAGAGACUGUUGGCUACUAUUUGAGUGUCUAUAGUUUCCUUGCAAUGAAUGUAGACAAAAAAAACUUCUGGUCAUUUCUCUGUGCCAAGCUCAGUUUUUACUGGAUGAUCCUAAUGUCACACUCGUAUUCCCUGCUGAUGCGAUCGCCAAGGCUAAACAUUAUCUUGCAUUGAAUUUCGGAGGUCUAGGUGCUUAUAGUGUCGUGGCAUUCCUGGUGUAAGCAAAGAAUUUGCGAAUUUCAUUGAGAGACGUGAUGGAUAUCCAAGUGAUCCGAAAAAUAUAUUUCUCAUGGAUGCUGCCAGCAAAGGAAUAAUGCAGAUCUUACAUACCAUCAUUCGAGGCCACACUGACGGGGGAACUAUAUAGCAGUAUUGGUACCUGUUCCGCAGUAUCCGCUAUACUCCGCUAUAAUAUCACUGUAUGGGGGUUCUCUUGUUCUGUACUAUCUUGAAGAGACUGCAGACUGGGGUCUUGAUAACAACGACUUCCGGCAAUCUAUUGGACAAGGUCGACAAAACGGAACAACUGUGAGGUAACAACUAUGUUACCUCGUCAACUCCACUUGGCUAUACCUCUUCUUGGCAACCUUUUAUAUUAGCUAACUACUUAUACUACAGCUCUUUGGUCAUGCAUUUUAUUGGUUUUGCUCACAAGUUUCUUCACACAGAUCCAGAAGUGGUAGUCAAGAUGGUUUCAAAGGUCUGUUCCAUUUUCAUAUCUUUCUGUUGGUGGUUUACUUUGUACAAAAGCUUCUGAUGCAUAUUACUUUGGAUAGUGACUGAUGAAUGCAUGACAUAUACUGCAACUUAUGUGCAUGGUCUUAUUUUGGCAUGUUUGGGUGCCAAUUGCGUUGAUAUGACUUCUUUAAUUUUCGUAUAGCUAACCAAAGCUGCUCCAGACAACAUGAGUCUGGUGGUUUCAGUUUCAACAAAGACUGUGGAUUUUCAUUUUGGCAUGAGAUUUUGAUUUCACUCUCUUUGUUAAUUGAAAGUGUUUUUCCCCAAUCCCCACAUUUUGAUCCUACAGGCUCUGCGAUCCACAACUACACUUCCAGCUACAUUUCUUAUAACAGGAUUAUAAAUGUUCAAAACACUAAGUUGGAUAAUUAAUUGGAGAAAAAAUGAGACAUACAUAUUGACGUAGGUGUCUGCCACAUGUUAUGAGACAGAAUGUUUUGCAAUGAGUCAUUUGAAGAGUUUGACGUAAUAACCUGUUAGAGGGCAGAAGAAAGUUAUCUUAGUUGCCUUGCUAGAAUGAAGAAUCAUGGUAGAAUUGAACAUUGAGUUAUAAGAUCUGAUGGUAUAGGAGCCUCGAGUUGUGGCUGUCAUCUCAAUGUUGCUAUAUUAAAAAGACAUUGCGAACUGACUGAAGUAUCUCACCAGGAGUGGUUGAUCAAAAUUAUUUUGAGCCAAGUCCUGUACUUACAUGUCUCAGAGCAUAUGGUGAUACUCUCCAGUGUUCUGUUAAAAUCUGCGUACAUUGCAUGUCUUUAUUCUGAUUGACUGUUAUAUAUUUAGGUAUUCAUGCUUCUAUUUUACUCUGGUUCUCUUGUACAGGUGAUAACAAUAUUAACCUCAUUCACGAAACUGGUAGACCUCAUAAAAAAAUAUUGAUAGUGUAUUUCAUUCGAAACUAACUGGAUCAUCGAAAUCAAUGCUUAAUGCUUUGCAUAGAUACGUUCCUACUAUUCGUGAGCAGUUACAGGUAUUGUAAUACCUCACCUCAUCAGUCCUUUCUUAAUGCAUUGUUAGUCGUUGGCACACUUUGCUCUGAUCUUUGCUUUUCAGCUGCUUACACAAAACACACUCUAAUUUGAUUGAUAGAAAUAUCUUGUCAACAAAUCUUAGAAGUGGAUGAGUGACAAGCCUUGCAACAGUAAUAAUGAUCACCGUAUAAAUUAGUACAUGCUGAUAAUGUGUAGUUCCCUUAAAGUAAUGAGGAACAUCUCUACUGAUGAACUGGCUGCUGCCACACGAGUGAAAAUUAGACAAACCAUAUGCAUAAAUUUAUAUUAUUUCCCCCUAUCUUGACUUGCACAUUCCUUUGAGCUAAUUGGAGAAAUAAAGUGAGCACUAAUUUUGUAAGGGGCCAGUUUGUGUGCAUUUUGCUAGAGUAAUCCUAAGGGGAAAAAAUAAACUUGAAAGGUUUAUGAAAGAGGAAGAAAGAAAGUUCCAGAAGGGAUGAAUGCAAGUUUUAAUGUGCUAUGACGUGGUUAGUGUCCUAUACAUUGAAUGAACUUUGCGCAUAUUUCUUCUUUUCAAACUACCUUUUACUGAAUUAUAAGUUUUAAUAAAUUCAAUGUGCUAAAAUGAUAAAGUUCUUAAAUAAUCUGUUUCUUGCCUCUGGAUAUCAGCAUGGAUUUACAAUGAAAUUUCUGAAGUGGUGUCGAUUUUUCAGGGAUGUUCAAUUAGUACCAAUCGUUUCUAAGUUAGUAGUAUUUUCCUUGGGCUGAAUAUGUGAUUCAGUUAAUUAGGCCUCUGAUUUUCCUGAUAUAAAGAUGAAUCUCCAAUCAAUACUAACAUGUUAAUUUAUGUGGUCAGGUUGGGACGCUGUACAGAAAAUGAGAAGAUGAGGCAAUCCUAAUAUUGGAUUUGUGUUAUACAAGUGAAAUUUCUUUUGUAACGCAUGCUAAGUUAUAAUUGUCGGGAAAUCAGCCUAUCAAAGUGAAUAUGAACAAUCUAACACUUCUCUUUAAAACCUCUCUCAUAAGCAAGCUUAAGAAUGUAAUCUUCAACUAAGGGUGUCAA